rnacentral:rRNA from 1 species
AUUGAACGCUGGCGGCAUGCUUUACACAUGCAAGUCGAACGGCAGCGGGGGCUUCGGCCUGCCGGCGAGUGGCGAACGGGUGAGUAAUGCAUCGGAACGUGCCCAUGUCGUGGGGGAUAACUACGCGAAAGCGUAGCUAAUACCGCAUACGUCCUGAGGGAGAAAGCGGGGGAUUCUUCGGAACCUCGCGCGAUUGGAGCGGCCGAUGUCAGAUUAGCUAGUAGGUGAGGUAAAGGCUCACCUAGGCGACGAUCUGUAGCGGGUCUGAGAGGAUGAUCCGCCACACUGGGACUGAGACACGGCCCAGACUCCUACGGGAGGCAGCAGUGGGGAAUUUUGGACAAUGGGCGCAAGCCUGAUCCAGCCAUGCCGCGUGAGUGAAGAAGGCCUCGG